UCAACACUCCAUUAGCCUCUACUUGCUAUAAACCCCAUGGCGGCACUAGUCACAGCAUGCUCCAAGAAGGCUCACGUCCUCAUCGCCAUCGCGCUGCUGGUGGCUCUCCUUGCCACGGUUGCAUCGGCGGGCAGGGGCGACGUCCCGAUGGCAGACGGCCAGUGCACUAGAGUUGGAGCCUGCUCGGAUAGCUUGUGCACGGAGCAGUACUGCAGCGUCCAUGACACCGGGUCGUGCAAGUUCGUCGGUCAAUACGUCUACUGCUGCUGUGGCCCAGUGCAUUCGACAUCCACUGAUGAUGUCCAUCCGCGGCCGCUUGGUCAUUGAUGAUCCGUCGUAUCUUUGUUUGAUGCAUGAUUAGACGUGAUAUGGUUAGAUGUUUUGCACUGGUGUAUGGGAUGUAUCGGAUCUGAUUAUUAGUACUCAAGAGUACAAUACGGCAGUAUCAAAAUAAUAAGCAUAAGUUGUUCUCCUUUCUCUAGAGUUUUAUUUAGUCUUUUCUUCGGUCAUUUUCUGAUUGAAGUACAAUUAAUGUCGUCCCUAUGUUUUAUUAAAUUCUAAUUUAAGCAAUUCUCUAUUAUUAGAGUUGUAAUUUGAACGGUUUUGAGGCUUUGUUUUUGGAUGGUAAAGCUAUGGGUGCGAAGGAGUGGGAUCUUUGGGGGCAUAUGCCCCACUUCUUUUGCAAAGCUCCACCUUUUUUUUUACUAUUUGCAUAAUGACAUAGGUGGCUAGUGUUUUUUAAAAAAGUAAUAGAACCCAAUGGCUACUAUUAUCCAUGAUGAUUAAAGUCCAUAAGAUAGAUCUCCG
rnacentral:lncRNA from 1 species